rnacentral:rRNA from 1 species
GCAGCAGCCGCGGGAAUACGGAGGGUGCAAGCGUUAAUCGGAAUUACUGGGCGUAAAGCGCACGCAGGCGGUCUGACAAGUCAGAUGUGAAAUCCCCGGGCUUAACCUGGGAACUGCAUUUGAAACUGUCAGGCUGGAGUCUUGUAGAGGGGGGUGGAAUUCCAGGUGUAGCGGUGAAAUGCGUAGAGAUCUGGAGGAAUACCGGUGGCGAAGGCGGCCCCCUGGACAAAGACUGACGCUCAGGUGCGAAAGCGUGGGGAGCAAACAGGAUUAGAUACCCGUGUAGUCCCUGUCUCUUAUAC